UUCAGACUAGGUACUCCACCUGAAACUAAGCAGGUUAGAGUCUGGCCAGUACUUGGAUGGGAGACCAACUAGGAAACCUAGGUUGCUGCUGGAA
rnacentral:rRNA from 1 species